rnacentral:rRNA from 1 species
GAACGCUGGCGGUAUGCUUUACACAUGCAAGUCGAACGGGCUUGGGGGCUUGCUCCCGGGCUAGUGGCGAACGGGUGAGUAACAUAUCGGAACAUAUCCGGAAGUGGGGGAUAACGUAGCGAAAGUUACGCUAAUACCGCAUAUGCCCCGAGGGGGAAAGGGGGGGAUCGCAAGACCUCCCGCUUUCGGAGUGGCCGAUACCGGAUUAGCUAGAUGGUGAGGUAAAGGCUCACCAUGGCGACGAUCCGUAGCGGGUCUGAGAGGACGACCCGCCACACUGGAACUGAGACACGGUCCAGACUCCUACGGGAGGCAGCAGUGGGGAAUUUUGGACAAUGGGCGCAAGCCUGAUCCAGCCAUACCGCGUGAGUGAAGAAGGCCUUCGGGUUGUAAAGCUCUUUCAGCCGGAAAGAAAUUGCUUCUAUUAAUACUAGGAGUAGAUGACGGUACCGGAAGAAGAAGCACCGGCUAACUACGUGCCAGCAGCCGCGGUAAUACGUAGGGUGCGAGCGUUAAUCGGAAUUACUGGGCGUAAAGCGUGCGCAGGCGGUUUGGUAAGACAGACGUGAAAUCCCCGGGCUUAACCUGGGAACUGCGUUUGUGACUGCCAGACUAGAGUGUAGCAGAGGGGGGUAGAAUUCCACGUGUAGCAGUGAAAUGCGUAGAGAUGUGGAGGAAUACCGAUGGCGAAGGCAGCCCCCUGGGCUAACACUGACGCUCAUGCACGAAAGCGUGGGGAGCAAACAGGAUUAGAUACCCUGGUAGUCCACGCCCUAAACGAUGUCAACUAGGUGUUGGGGAAGGAGACUUCUUUAGUACCGCAGCUAACUGCCGCGCUCAUAUUGUUGUAGGAGGGUUCUAGCGCA